rnacentral:rRNA from 1 species
CCUACGGGUGGCAGCAGUGAGGAAUAUUGGUCAAUGGACGCAAGCCUGAACCAGCCAUGCCGCGUGCAGGAAGACGGCCCUAUGAGUUGUAAACUGCUUUUGUAAGGGGGUAAAGGGAGAUACGUGUAUCUUUCUGAAUGUAUCGUAUGAAUAAGGAUCGGCUAACUCCGUGCCAGCAGCCGCGGUAAUACGGAGGAUGCGAGCGUUAUCCGGAUUUAUUGGGUUUAAAGGGUGCGUAGACGGUCGGUUAAGUCAGAUGUGAAAGCGCGAGGCUCAACUCUGGAAUUGCAACUGAUACUGGUCGUCUAGAGUGUAGUUGAGGUAGGCGGAAUGCAUGGUGUAGCGGUGAAAUGCUUAGAGAUCAUGAAGAACACCGAUUGCGAAGGCAGCUUACUAAACUACGACUGACGUUGAGGCACGAAAGCGUGGGGAGCAAACAGGAUUAGAUACCCGAGUAGUC